AAAGACAAGGGAGACGGAAGGAAACAGGAACAGAAUGGCGGAGACCGUAGUCUUAAAACUGCGUUGUUAAAGCCGGAAAAAUGAUGAAUAUUAUGACAGAACUGGUGUGUACAUGAUAUGGCUUGCCUGAAUUAUUUUGGAAUAUUUGUUGGAGGUUGCGAAAACCUAGCCAGAGCAGCAGGGCUAAAUUGCAUCAAGAAUCCAGGAGUGCUGCCUCAGCAAAAAUGUGACUGUCAAGCACCAUCUGCAGAUAUCUGUUUUUAGACCUAGCAUUAAAUGAAAUCUCACUUCCACUUCUUAUUCAAGUAAGAUGAGAAAAUGGAAUUCCUUUACUUAAAGAUCCUUGGUGUUGGUUCUCAAAUGAUGGCCAAUUAUUGUCAUUUAAGUCAUUCUUCAAUAAAAUUUUUUUAGUCUUGAAUUGGCACAUUAUUUUUUUAUAUUUGUUUUAUAACAUUUAGCCCAAUAGGUGUCCAUUGCUCUGAAAUAAGACUGACCUAUCCUCUUAAUAGGAAUGGUAAACCUGGAGUUCAGGAAGAAAAGUCACCCAUCCACGUAUAGCAAAUUAUAAACUCGAUGCAAAUUGCAUUUCUAAUUCCAGAAAUAAUUAACAGUUUUAACAACCAAACCGCGGCAGGAGAUAAAAUGUAAUUAUCACGUACAUCGGUUUGGUUUAUUUUCAGCUUCCCAUUGAUGUCUAGUGUGACUGCGUCUUUCGUUCACGCGUUAUUUUCCCAGCUAUUUGUAAACGUUUUCAAAACACUGAUCUUCCUCAUUUAAUCCAGUAAAAUCUAUACAUCACAGUCAAAGGGAACAACUGUCACAUUACACUGAAAACCACAAAUUGCAGUAAAUUAUUACAGCAGUUUGUGGACUGACAUAAUCGCCUCCACCUGUAAGACAUUAAAGCCACGGUUUGCUGGAUGAUUUGUUUCAGGCUCCUGACAGGUUUUGGCUUGGUGCUGGAUGUGGGAGAAAACAUAUUUAUGUAAACAUGAUGCUGAAUUGGCUGUAAGUGAGGUAGAAAGGACCUGAGGAAAUUCUCGUGUUGGUAUUUCCCAUGGCUGGCCUGCUGUCUGCAGAAGUCCCAAGCUGCACCCGCCUCUAUCAGCUUUUGCACCCCCCCUGGAGAGCGGAUCAAAGUGAACUCGCUGCUACGCUUCGUGUAGCUUUUAAGUGAUUAAAUGGGCCGACGUCUGCUUCAUUGAACUGACUUUUUGCUCAUUUCUGCUAAUUUCUCCUCCCUAUCCUUGUAAACAAAGUUGGCUCUGGCUUCAUAAAACAAGUGUUGCAUUAAAGUGUGAAAAAUGCAUAA